rnacentral:rRNA from 1 species
UACAGAGGGGGCAAGCGUUGUUCGGAAUUACUGGGCGUAAGGGGCGCGUAGGCGGCCUGUUAAGUCGAACGUGAAAUCCCUGGGCUCAACCCAGGAACUGCGUCCGAUACUGGCAGGCUUGAAUCCGGGAGAGGGAUGUGGAAUUCCAGGUGUAGCGGUGAAAUGCGUAGAUAUCUGGAGGAACACCGGUGGCGAAGGCGGCAUCCUGGACCGGUAUUGACGCUGAGGCGCGAAAGCCAGGGGAGCAAACGGG